rnacentral:rRNA from 1 species
UACAUGGGGUGCAAACGUUGCUCGGAAUCAUUGGGCGUAAAGCGCACGUAGGCGGCUUCGCAAGUCGGAUGUGAAAUCCCUCGGCUCAACCGAGGACGUGCAUCCGAAACUGCGGAGCUUGAGUACUGAAGAGGAUCGCGGAAUUCCCGGUGUAGAGGUGAAAUUCGUAGAUAUCGGGAGGAACACCAGUGGCGAAGGCGGCGAUCUGGGCAGAUACUGACGCUGAGGUGCGAAAGCGUGGGGAGCAAACAGG